AUUCCAGCUCCAAUAGCGUAUAUUAAAGUUGUUGCAGUUAAAAAGCUCGUAGUUGGAUUUCUGGUGGGCUGUCGGCCUGGCUCCGAAAGGGGUCGUGGUUAGUACACGCCUGGCCAUCCUCGGGGGAAGCUUUGCUGGCAUUAAGUUGUCGGCGGAGUGACGCUCGUCGUUUACUGUGAACAAAUUAGAGUGUUCAAAGCAGGCUUAGGCCGUUGAAUACAUUAGCAUGGAAUAAUGAGAUAGGACUUUGGUGGUCUAUUUUGUUGGUUUGCACGCCGAAGUAAUGAUUAAUAGGGGCGGUUGGGGGUAUUCGUAUUCAAUUGUCAGAGGUGAAAUUCUUGGAUUUAUGGAAGACGAACUACUGCGAAAGCAUUUACCAAGGAUGUUUUCAUCA
rnacentral:rRNA from 1 species